rnacentral:piRNA from 1 species
CUCUUGGGAUGAGGGUUUGGUCCAAC